AGCCGGACCAACGAUGCAUCAUAACAUCAACUAGUUGCUAGAAAGGCGGCGGGGAAAGGAGCAUCCAUACACGCACGCGAUUAGACCCCCGCCGUGAGAUGCAUCGGUGGCUGUGAGGCAGGUGGGGACAUGCCUGGAGGCUGAAAGGGCUUCCAGACGCAUAAAUCGCAUCAGGCGCCGUCGUACGCCGGACCAACGAUGCAUCAUAACAUCUACUAGUUGCUAGAAAGGCGGCAGGGAAGAAGCAUCCAUACGCGCACGCAAUUAGAACCCCGCCGUGAGAUGCGUCGGUGGCUGUGAGGCAGGUGGGGACAUGCCUGGAGGCUGAAAGGGCUCCGGACGCAUAAAUCGCAUCAGGCGCUGUCGUACGCCGGACCAACGAUGCAUCAUAACAUCAACUAGUUGCUAGAAAGGCGGCGGGGAAAGGAGCAUCCAUACGCGCACGCAUUAGACCCCCGCCGUGAGAUGCGUCGGUGGCUGUGAGGCAGGUGGGGACAUGCCUGGAGGCUGAAAGGGC
rnacentral:lncRNA from 1 species